rnacentral:tRNA from 1 species
GUUUUUGUAGUUGAAUACAACGGUGGUUUUUCAGGCCAUAAGUCUUGGUUAAAAUCCAGGCAAGAAUU